AGUAAAUUGUCCUGGCUGGAAGAAGGUUCAGUGAAUGGGGAGGUGCCGUGUGAGGUAACACAGUAAAUUGUCCUGGCUGGAAGAAGGUUCAGUGAAUGGGGAGGUGCCGUGUGAGGAAACACAGUAAAUUGUCCUGGCUGGAAGAAGGUUCAGUGAAUGGGGAGGUGCCGUGUGAGGAAACACAGUAAAUUGUCCUGGCUGGAAGAAGGUUCAGUGAAUGGGGAGGUGCCGUGUGAGGAAACACAGUAAAUUGUCCUGGCUGGAAGAAGGUUCAGUGAAUGGGGAGGUGCCGUGUGAGGAAACACAGUAAAUUGUCCUGGCUGGAAGAAGGUUCAGUGAAUGGGGAGGUGCCGUGUGAGGAAACACAGUAAAUUGUCCUGGCUGGAAGAAGGUUCAGUGAAUGGGGAGGUGCCGUGUGAGGUAACACAGUAAAUUGUCCUGGCUGGAAGAAGGUUCAGUGAAUGGGGAGGUGCCGUGUGAGGAAACACAGUAAAUUGUCCUGGCUGGAAGAAGGUUCAGUGAAUGGGGAGGUGCCGUGUGAGGUAACACAGUAAAUUGUCCUGGCUGGAAGAAGGUUCAGUGAAUGGGGAGGUGCCGUGUGAGGUAACACAGUAAAUUGUCCUGGCUGGAAGAAGGUUCAGUGAAUGGGGAGGUGCCGUGUGAGGAAACACAGUAAAUUGUCCUGGCUGGAAGAAGGUUCAGUGAAUGGGGAGGUGCCGUGUGAGGUAACACAGUAAAUUGUCCUGGCUGGAAGAAGGUUCAGUGAAUGGGGAGGUGCCGUGUGAGGUAACACAGUAAAUUGUCCUGGCUGGAAGAAGGUUCAGUGAAUGGGGAGGUGCCGUGUGAGGAAACACAGUAAAUUGUCCUGGCUGGAAGAAGGUUCAGUGAAUGGGGAGGUGCCGUGUGAGGAAACACA